rnacentral:rRNA from 1 species
AUACGUAGGGUGCAAGCGUUAAUCGGAAUUACUGGGCGUAAAGCGUGCGCAGGCGGUUUUGUAAGACAGAGGUGAAAUCCCCGGGCUCAACCUGGGAACUGCCUUUGUGACUGCAAGGCUAGAGUACGGCCGAGGGGGGUGGAAUUCCGCGGUUAGCAGGGAAAUGCGUAGAUAUGCGGAGGAACACCGAUGGCGAAGGCAAUCCCCUGGGCCUGUACUGACGCUCAUGCACGAAAGCGUGGGGAGCAAACAGGAUUAGAUACCCUGGUAGUCCACGCCCUAAACGAUGUCAACUGGUUGUUGGGUCUUCAUUGACUCAGUAACGAAGCUAACGCGUGAAGUUGACCGCCUGGGGAGUACGGCCGCAAGGUUGAAACUCAAAUGAAUCGACGGGG